rnacentral:lncRNA from 1 species
UUGUUACACAGGUUCUUCUGACAAAUGACUGAUAAACCCAUCUUGUAUCCUUGUAUCUACUAAAAGGGUGUUUGAGAAUAUAUACAAUAUAUUCAAGUUUCAGAGAGUCAGUCUGAUAUAAAAUGUUGGUAAGUGUCUUCUUUGGAAGUGUUCAAAAACCUGUAAGAACUUGAACUUCCAUGACUAUUUUAAUGUUACAACAGUAGAGGAACAUGGAAUAUUGAACGGUAUUCAAGAACUCGUCGAAAUAGAUCUGCAAUCAUUAAUUUUACUCAUAUUUACUAUUGUGAACUUGCAAUUUCCUACGAUGCGCGUACCGAGUUAUCUCCCUUUGAUCUCCGCUUCGCCACGAAUAAUCUGACAGAAUUGCGUAUCCGGGGUUUUUGUGAUCUGAUAUUGUAAUAUUAGGAGCAAAAAAUGGUUUUACUUCAUAUUUUAUACCUCUCAACACGUUACCAAACCUAUUUAAGGAUUUAUUAAGGAUUUUCCGUGGACCUACGCAAAUUUUCAGAAAAAAAGUUUCACUUCGCUCGUGAAUUUAUAACAUUUUAACAAUACUUUUUUAUUAUAA